GUUUUUAUAAUAAUGGAAAUAAUUGGCAGCAGUCAACAGAAACACCAUAGUUGCUAUUCUCUUUAAUGCAAUUGUCCUGUGAGAAUUCCAGGUAUAAAAAAUGAACCCACCUAGUCAUCCAAAUUUUGGAUAAUAAUCUCUUGAUUUGUGAUUUUAUAUUUACAGAUUCAGCCAUAUCUUCCUAGGACCGAGCAACCAAAACUGGACCAAAGACCUUGGAUCCUCAGCAAUGGGGGUGCAUCUGGUGAUGGUGUUCAUGCUAAAUUUGUGCCAAGGGACACCUGUUCUUGUGGGAGAAUUAAUAAAUAUUUCACUUCUGUUUAGGUUUCUCAUCUGGGAACUGAACUGCUAUAAUCAAAUACAUAAAGAAAUUGAGCUGCCCCUGUCUGAAUUCAAUCUUCACCUUCUGAUGCUGAUGAAACAGGAUUCAAUGCAGGAGGGGGACAGAGCCUGCUUCAAAUGGAAUGGAGUGUGUCCAUCUCUAGCACAUCAUGCUCACUGA
rnacentral:lncRNA from 13 species